rnacentral:rRNA from 1 species
UACGUAGGGUGCAAGCGUUGUCCGGAAUUAUUGGGCGUAAAGAGCUCGUAGGCGGUUCGUCGCGUCGGCUGUGAAAACCUGAGGCUCAACCUCAGGCCUGCAGUCGAUACGGGCGGACUUGAGUACUGCAGGGGAGACUGGAAUUCCUGGUGUAGCGGUGAAAUGCGCAGAUAUCAGGAGGGACACCGGUGGCGAAGGCGGGUCUCUGGGCAGUAACUGACGCUGAGGAGCGAAAGCGUGGGGAGCGAACAGG